rnacentral:tRNA from 1 species
UCCCUCUUAGCUUGUUGGUAAAGAAUCUGCCUGUAAUGCUGGAGAUCAGGGUUCAAUUCCUAGAUAAGGAA